UCAUCCCUCAUUCCAUCUGCUCAAUAAAAAUCUGUCUUCGAUGGACAUCAAGAAAUAACAUAUUAAAAAUCAUUUGCAAGAUUGAUGAUCUUCAUUUACCAGUUUCAAUACUAAACAACUUCGGUAACGAGAUUGCAAGUUGCAGUCUUCCUUUUCCGUCUCCUCUUUGUACUCCAACAUACAGUAAUACAACUGUAAAACAGAAUACACACACAAACGAAACAGUAGUUAUAGUGGUAGGAAAAAUUGAUCAUAGUAUAAAUGGAAAUUGGUCAUGUCAUCAUGGGGUAGGCAGAAAGUAUGAAGCAGAUAUUGAAAUCAACGUCCUAACAUUGAAAGGACAAAACAAAACGGAUGAAUAUGAUGACUUAAGCUGCCUAAAGGAAAUAUCGUUCUAUACUGUGACAGGAAUCAUCAUUUCAGUGGCUAUGUUCAGCAUUUUGUGCUUAAUUUUGAUAUGUAAAUGUAAAUUGACAAAGGGAAAAGCGCAAGAUUUCAAUGUAACAUUUCCAUAUGCAGCUGUUAUUGACAAAUGUUUUGAAAUUCAGAGGUUUCAGAAAUAUUCGG